AACCCCUACGUUAGUUGCUAACGCGUGAAGGCGAGCACUCUAGACGAACUGGCCGUUGACAAAACGGAGGAAGGUGGGGAUGACGUCAAAUCAUCAUGCCCCUUAUGUUCUGGGCUACACACGUGCUACAAUGGCCGGUACAGACGGACGCAAAGCCGCGAGGUGGAGCAAAUCCUAAAAAGCCGGUCUCAAGUUCGGAUUGCAGGCUGCAAUUCGCCUGCAUGAAGUCGGAAUCGCUAGUAAUCGCAGGUCAGCAUACUGCGGUGAAUACGUCCCCGGGCCUU
rnacentral:rRNA from 1 species